ensembl:snRNA U1 U1 spliceosomal RNA
AUACUUACCUGGCAGGGGAGAUACCAUGAUCAUGAAGGUGGUUCACCCAGGGUGAGGCUCAGCCAUUGCACUCCGGUUGUGCUGACCCCUGCGAAUUCCCCAAAUGUGGGAAUCUCGACUGCAUAAUUUCUGGUAGUGGGGGACUGCGUUCGCGCUCUCCCCUG